CGUUUGUUUACCUGGAAAAUAUUUUAUAGAAAAUAUUUUCCUGGUUUUCCAGUGUUUGGUUGCCUAAAAACAUUUUCCAUUUGGAAAAUGAUUUCCAAGACACGGGUAAAAUGUCUUACGUUUUAGGGAAAUUGUCUUACCAAUUUCAUUUCUGUAAGACAUUUUCCAGUCCCUCCAUCUAGGAUUAUACCAUUCCUCUUCGCUGGGUCUUGGCUUAAGGGGUUUGGUUUGGUACUUGGGAGCCCCAACCAAUAACACCAAUCUUGAAAUCGAGAGAUAUGUGGGUUUGACAGGCCAUAGCUGAGCCGCAACAAUUAUGAGUAGUCAAUGUGGUUGGUUUGAGAGGACUGAAAGGAUCUUGAAAUGGUCGUCAAGAAACCUAGAUUAAAGUUUUUGAGGAAAUUGAGAGAGAGGG